rnacentral:misc_RNA from 1 species
CAACCCCUCAAGCCCGGCUUGGUGUUGGGGCCCCUACGCUCGCCGUAGGCCCCGAAUUACAGUGGCGGGCUCGCCGCGAUCUCGAGCGUAGUAGUGUUACCUCGCUCAGGGCGCGCGGCGGGUGCCGGCCGUGAAAACGAAACGGGGGACCCUAACAAGUCCCCACGACAAACACACACAA